UGUCGCGCUGGUGCUGGCGCGGCAACACCCGCAGUUCCCGAUUCCCUCUCACCCUACCCUGUUCCCAGCGGCCUGAGCUCCUUCCGGCAGCGACACUGAGCGCUUCGCCAAGCGAAUCCUUGGAGAGAUUGUCUCUCCGAAAAGUCGAUCUUGCAGUUCGUUGAAAGGGACAGACUGACCGGGCUCUUCACCAACUGAGCCCUUGCAGAGAACUGCCUUUGAAGAUCACUCGUGUCCUUUAUUGAAAGGCAAAAGUACUGUGUCUGGUUCUGAGACCUUCACUGCAGCAAAGAUUCUCCCUCCCCGAACUUGGUCCAGGGAGGGGGAACACAGCUGAUGCAGACUCUAGAGGUGAGCUGAGACACAGUCACUGGUAGGACUUAUCCACCCACAACAUCCUUCAGAAUGGAUUCUGGAUUCCAGAGGAGAGAGGUGCUAGCUCGCCCUCUAAGGCCGAGAGAGGCUGAGAAGCCUGAGCGUCUGACCAUUUUUGACUUCAGGAAGGUGGGUCUCAGGUUCAGGAAGAAGCCGGACAGCCCUCAGGAGGCAAAGCUGCCCAAGAUUGCCCUGCACCUAGGCACAAGUGAGAGCUCCAAUUACAAGUUCUCAUCACCUGACCGGAACAAGACCUUGCUUGAGCCUUGCCCAUCUGAGCUGGUGUUUCAGAACUAUGUCCUUGGCAAGGUCUGUGAAAUGCCCCUGCUUCUGAGGAACAGAGACA